CCUACGGGUGGCAGCAGUGGGGAAUAUUGCACAAUGGGGGAAACCCUGAUGCAGCGACGCCGCGUGAGUGAAGAAGUAAUUCGGUAUGUAAAGCUCUAUCAGCAGGGAAGAAAAUGACGGUACCUGAGUAAGAAGCCCCGGCUAACUACGUGCCAGCAGCCGCGGUAAUACGUAGGGGGCAAGCGGUAUCCGGAUUUACUGGGUGUAAAGGGAGCGUAGACGGCAGUGCAAGUCUGGAGUGAAAGGCGGGGGCUCAACCCCCGGACUGCUCUGGAAACUGUACGGCUGGAGUGCAGGAGAGGUAAGUGGAAUGCCUAGUGUAGCGGUGAAAUGCGUAGAUAUUAGGAGGAACACCAGUGGCGAAGGCAGCUUACUGGACUGUAACUGACGUUGAGGCUCGAAAGCGUGGGGAGCAAACAGGAUUAGAUACCCUUGUAGUC
rnacentral:rRNA from 1 species